rnacentral:rRNA from 1 species
AUGAACGCUGGCGGCGUGCCUAAUACAUGCAAGUCGAGCGGAAUGAUGAAGAAGCUUGCUUCUUCUGAUUUUAGCGGCGGACGGGUGAGUAACACGUGGGCAACCUACCUUGUAGAUUGGGAUAACUCCGGGAAACCGGGGCUAAUACCGAAUAAUCCAUUUUGCUUCAUGGCGAGAUGUUAAAAGGCGGCUUCGGCUGUCACUACGAGAUGGGCCCGCGGCGCAUUAGCUAGUUGGUAGGGUAAUGGCCUACCAAGGCGACGAUGCGUAGCCGACCUGAGAGGGUGAUCGGCCACACUGGGACUGAGACACGGCCCAGACUCCUACGGGAGGCAGCAGUAGGGAAUCUUCCACAAUGGACGAAAGUCUGAUGGAGCAACGCCGCGUGAGUGAAGAAGGUUUUCGGAUCGUAAAACUCUGUUGUAAGGGAAGAACACGUACGAGAGUAACUGCUCGUACCUUGACGGUACCUUAUUAGAAAGCCACGGCUAACUACGUG